rnacentral:rRNA from 1 species
AGAGUUUGAUCCUGGCUCAGGAUGAACGCUGGCGGCGUGCCUAAUACAUGCAAGUCGAACGCACCAUUUCGGUGGUGAGUGGCGAACGGGUGAGUAACACGUAGAUAACCUGCCCUUAAGACGAGGAUAACCAUUGGAAACGAUGGCUAAGACUGGAUAGGAAUAUUAGAGGCAUCUCUGAUAUUUUAAAAGACCUAGCAAUAGGUAUGCUUAAGGAGGGGUCUGCGGCGCAUUAGUUAGUUGGUGGGGUGAUGGCCUACCAAGACAAUGAUGCGUAGCCGGACUGAGAGGUUGAACGGCCACAUUGGGACUGAGAGACGGCCCAAACUCCUACGGGAGGCAGCAGUAGGGAAUUUUCGGCAAUGGGGGCAACCCUGACCGAGCAACGCCGCGUGAAUGACGAAGUACUUCGGUAUGUAAAGUUCUUUUAUCAGGGAAGAAUGGCUAGUGGAAAAGCUAGAUUGACGGUACCUGAUGAAUAAGCCCCGGCUAACUAUGUGCCAGCAGCCGCGGUAAUACAUAGGGGGCAAGCGUUAUCCGGAAUUAUUGGGCGUAAAGGGUGCGUAGGUGGUUAGUUAAGUCUUUGGUAUAAGUGCAGUGCUUAACGCUGUGACGCUAAAGAAACUGGCUGACUUGAGUGUGGUAGAGGCAAGUGGAAUUCCAUGUGUAGCGGUAAAAUGCGUAAAUAUAUGGAGGAACACCAGUGGCGAAGGCGGCUUGCUGGGCCACAACUGACACUGAGGCACGAAAGCGUGGGGAGCAAACAGGAUUAGAUACCCUGGUAGUC